rnacentral:rRNA from 1 species
CCCAGUUGGAACGACUGCUAAACCCGGAUGAGCCGAAAGGUAAAAGAUUAAUCGCCUAGAGAGGGGCUUGCGUCUGAUUAGCUAGUUGGUGAGGUAAGAGCCUACCAAGGCGACGAUCAGUAGCUGGUCUGAGAGGAUGAUCAGCCACACUGGGACUGAGACACGGCCCAGACUCCUACGGGAGGCAGCAGUGGGGAAUUUUCCGCAAUGGGCGAAAGCCUGACGGAGCAAGACCGCGUGGGGGAGGAAGGUUCUUGGAUUGUCAACCCCUUUUCUCAGGGAAGAACACAAUGACGGUACCUGAGGAAAAAGCAUCGGCUAACUCCGUGCCAGCAGCCGCGGUAAUACGGGGGAUGCAAGCGUUAUCCGGAAUGAUUGGGCGUAAAGAGUCCGUAGGUAGUCAUCCAAGUCUGCUGUUAAAGAGCGAGGCUUAACCUCGUAAAGGCAGUGGAAACUGGAAGACUAGAGUGUAGUAGGGGCAGAGGGAAUUCCUGGUGUAGCGGUGAAAUGCGUAGAGAUCAGGAAGAACACCGGUGGCGAAGGCGCUCUGCUGGGCUAUAACUGACACUGAGGGACGAAAGCUAGGGGAGCGAAUGGGAUUAGAUACCCGGGUAGUCAACUCA